UUUUCUUUAAAAAAUUAAACAAUGAAGCAUUGACAUGCACAAAAAGGAUGUUAUCUGAUAUAUAAUUUGACAUUAAUAAAUAUAAAUGUAUAUAUAUGGAUGUGGAUAUGAGAUGAGGAUGAGCCGGCGCAGUGAGAGGAUCGACCCACUCGCACCUGUUGACCGGAUUCCGGAUUUUCCAGGUUAAAAUGUAAAAUGGCGACAAACCGGAAAUGAAACAGGUGGACGUUCUCAACCCUGACGGUUUACUCCGGUGAUUUGUUUUUGUGUGAAGAAAGUGGAGUUUGUUUUCUUUUUCCUGCCGGAUAAACCCGCAAACAGAGGCAGUAAGUCAGCGCUGUGAGCUCUGCUCCUCUUCAGUGGGGCUGUUUUAUAAACUCUGCUUGGACGGGAAUGAGAAACUCCGCAUAAACAAGCGGAGCGACUUUCUUCACCACACGGUAACUUCACUUUAAAUAUGAUCUCUGAGCUGAACACGGUGUCGGGACACGAACACCACAAGACUGAAGUGUGUCAUGCAAAGUGUUCAGACUUCAGGUUUUGUAUAUAAGGAAGUCCCGUGCUUACAUUUGAACCCUUACAGUGGUGUGUGUGUGUGUGUGUGUGUGUUGGUGUGUGUGUGUGUGUGACAGUGUUGUCUCUGUGUGUGUGACAGUGUUGUCUCUGUGUGUGUGACAGUGUUGUCUCUGUGUGUGUGUGACAGUGUUGUCUCUGUGUGUGUGUGUGACAGUGUUGUCUCUGUGUGUGUGACAGUGUUGUCUCUCUGUGUGUGUGUGUGUGACAGUGUUGUCUGGGGGUGUGACAGUGGUGUGUGUGUGUGUGUGUGACAGUUGUGUGUGUGUGUGUGUGUGUGUGUGUGACAGUUGUGUGUGUGUGUGUGUGUGACAGUUGUGUGUGUGUGUGUGACAGUGGUUGUUGUCUGUGUGUGUGACAGUGGUGUGUGUGUGUGUGUGUCUCUGUGUGUGUGACAGUGGUGUCUGUGUGUGUGUGUCUGUGUGUGUGUGACAGUGGUGUCUCUGUGUGUGUGUGUCUGUGUGUGUGUGACAGUGUUGUUUCUGUGUGUGUGACAGUGUUGUCUCUGUGUGUGUGUGUGUGACAUUGUUGUCUCUGUGUGUGUGUGUGUGACAGUGUUGUCUCUGUGUGUGUGUGUGUGUGACAGUGUUGUCUCUGUGUGUGUGACAGUGUUGUCUCUGUGUGUGUGACAGUGUUGUCUCUGUGUGUGUGACAGUGUUUGUUGUCUCUGUGUGUGUGACAGUGUUGUCUGUGUCUGUGUGUGUGUGUGUGACAGUGUUGUCUGUGUGUGUGUGUGUGUGUGACAGUGUUGUCUCUGUGUGUGUGUGUGUGUGUGACAGUGUUGUCUCUGUGUGUGUGUGUGUGUGUGUGUGUGACAGUGGUGUCUGUGUGUGUGUGUGUCUGUGUGUGUGUGACAGUGUUGUCUCUGUGUGUGUGACAGUGUUGUCUCUGUUGGUGUGUGUGUGUGUGUGUGUGUGUGUGACAGUGUUGUCUGUGUGUGUGUGUGUGACAGUGUUGUCUGUGUGUGUGUGUGACAGUGGUGCCUGUGUGUGUGUGACAGUGUUGUCUCUCUGUGUGUGUGUGACAGUGUUGUCUCUGUGUGUGUGUGUGUGUGUGUGACAGUGUUGUCUCUGUGUGUGUGUGUGUGUGUGUGACAGUGUUGUCUCUGUGUGUGUGACAGUGUUGUCUCUGUGUGUGUGACAGUGUUGUCUCUGUGUGUGUGUGUGUGUGUGUGUGUGUGUGUGUGUGUGUGUGUGUGACAGUGGUGCCUGUGUGUGUGUGACAGUGGUGCCUGUGUGUGUGUGACAGUGUUGUCUCUGUGUGUGUGUGUGACAGUGUUGUCUCUGUGUGUGUGUGUGUGUGUGUGUGUGUGACAGUGGUGCCUGUGUGUGUGUGACAGUGUUGUCUGUGUGUGUGUGUGUGUGACAGUGUUGUCUCUGUGUGUGUGACAGUGUUGUCUCUGUGUGUGUGUGUGUGUGUGUGUGACAGUGUUGUCUCUGUGUGUGUGACAGUGUUGUCUCUGUGUGUGUGACAGUGGUGUCUGUGUGUGUGUGUGUGUGUGACUGGUGCCUCUGUGUGUGUGUGACAGUGGUGCCUGUGUGUGUGUGUGUGUGUGACAGUGUUGUCUCUGUGGGUGACAGUGUUGUCUCUGUGUGUGACAGUGUUGUCUCUGUGGGUGACAGUGUUGUCUCUGUGUGAGACAGUGUUGUCUGCGCGCGCGUGUGUGACAGUGUUGUCUCUGUGUGUGUGUGAGACAGUGUUGAAUCAGGACUGCAGUGUUCAGGCUUAUUCUUACAGGCUUGAAUUAAUUAACCGUAUUCAUUUAACCCAUACGGUAUAGAAGUAACGCUUAUGUAACUGCUGUGUAGUUAACCUGUACAAUGUUGAUUCAUGUAUGUGUGUGUGUGUGUGUAUAUAUGUGUAUAUAUAUAUAUAUAUAUAUAAUAUAUGCGCACACACAUUAACUAUGUCUAAGUAUUGAGUUCACCCAUAAUAGGUUAAAAUAACUCUUGCAGUGCUCAAUUAAACGCAUGUAGUGUUGAAUUAACC
ensembl:lncRNA